UACGGAGGGGACUAGCGUUGUUCGGAAUUACUGGGCGUAAAGCGCACGUAGGCGGAUUUGUAAGUCAGGGGUGAAAUCCCGGGGCUCAACCUCGGAACUGCCUUUGAUACUGCAAAUCUCGAGUCCGGAAGAGGUGAGUGGAAUUCCUAGUGUAGAGGUGAAAUUCGUAGAUAUUAGGAAGAACACCGGUGGCGAAGGCGGCCAACUGGACUGGUAUUGACGCUGAGGCGCGAAAGCGUGGGGAGCAAACAGG
rnacentral:rRNA from 1 species